AGAUUGAACGCUGGCGGCAUGCUUACACAUGCAAGUCGAACGGCAGCGCGGGGGCAACCCUGGCGGCGAGUGGCGAACGGGUGAGUAAUGUAUCGGAACGUAUCCUGUAAUGGGGGAUAACCAGUCGAAAGAUUGGGUAAUACCGCAUACGCACGAGAGUGGAAAGUAGGGGAUCGCAAGACCUUACGUUAUAGGAGCGGCCGAUAUCUGAUUAGCUAGUUGGUGGGGUAAAGGCCUACCAAGGCGACGAUCAGUAGCUGGUCUGAGAGGACGACCAGCCACACUGGGACUGAGACACGGCCCAGACUCCUACGGGAGGCAGCAGUGGGGAAUUUUGGACAAUGGGCGAAAGCCUGAUCCAGCCAUGCCGCGUGCAGGAAGAAGGCCUUCGGGUUGUAAACUGCUUUAGUCUAGGAAAAAGGGGUGCGAGGUUAAUACCCUCGUGCUUUGAUGGUACUGGAAGAAUAAGCACCGGCUAACUACGUG
rnacentral:rRNA from 1 species